rnacentral:misc_RNA from 1 species
CUUUCACCUUCGCUUUCGGCAACCGCAACCGAGCAUUGAACUAUCAGAAGAAGCAAAAUUCAGGCGUAAACAAACAAAUAUGUUGAAUCCUCUCCGAUUAACUUAAACUUUCAUCAGAUUCAAACCAUGAAUCUCUUCUUCAUCUUUGCUCUUCUGUUUUCUUCUUUUUUCAAUCUCUCUGUUGCCAGAGGCGGCUCUCCCAGCUCCAUUAACGCUUCAGGUGUUGUGAAUGGUAGCUUUGCAGCUUCAGCUAGGCAUUUGUUUGCAGAUAUAAAAGUUUCUCUUGCUGAACAAUUGCAAUUGAAAAGACUUGAAGAAUUAGCUAAAGAUUAUAUGUCAAAUUCUGAUCUUGAGAAUGCCCUGAUGUCAUUGAAUAGUAGGUGCAGUGGGAUAUCUAGAGUGUACAGCAUUGGAAAGAGUGUGCAGGGAGUUCCAUUGUGGGUGAUGGAAAUUUCUGACAAACCAGGCAAGGAAGAGGCUGAGCCUGCCUUUAAGUACAUUGGCAAUGUUCAUGGGGAUGAACCUGUAGGUCGCGAGCUUCUAAUUCUUCUGGCGAACUGGCUUUGUGAUAAUUAUAUGAAGGAUCCCUUGGCUACCCU